rnacentral:rRNA from 1 species
UAGCAUGGGGUGCAAACGUUGCUCGGAAUCAUUGGGCGUAAAGAGCGUGUAGGCGGCCAGAAAAGUCCGCUGUGGAAAACUCGAGGCUCAACUUCGAGCUGUCGGUGGAAACUUUCUGGCUAGAGUCCGGAAGAGGAGAAUGGAAUUCCUGGUGUAGCGGUGAAAUGCGCAGAUAAUCAGGAAGAACACCCGUGGCGAAGGCGGUUCUCUGGGACGGUACUGACGCUGAGACGCGAAAGCGUGGGGGAGCGAACAGG